GUGUCAGUACAGGAUCAGUGGUAAUAGGAUUUGAACCAGGGGAUCAUUCAUAUGGAGUUUAACAUGAUCUCAAUAAUUUGAUCUACUGAAGAUCCUUGUGUUUUAGUAUACUUCUCAACUCUCUACCACUUUGGUAUUAUUGACACCAUAAGAUACUAACUGUGACUCUGGAGUUUCUUAUGUAAUAGAUCUCAGUCUUACAUAAACAGAUUCCUUAGGCAGCAAGUGAGCAUCCCUGGACCUGGUAAACAGCAGUUCACAGGUUCAAAUAAAUUUCUGUUUGACCUCCAUGGGAGGAUCAUGUUAAAAGAGGGUGUUCCUGCUCUGCUCUUGUGAAAAGGAAACAGUCAAAUCAUUGUUGGCAAAACUCAGAGGGAGAAAAACUAUUCAUAGUUUCCAUUGUAAAUGGUACUCUGAUCUUUUUUUACAUAAACUAACAUAUGAAUGGGUUUGAGGCUGUUUACUAGAGCUCUGAGAGCCUCUUUGGUGAGCCAUAGAUUUUUUACUCUUUCUACUGUUUAAGCCUGAGGCAGAAGUCUAAAGUCAAAAUACUGUAUUUGUGUAACUCAGCAUUUAAUAGGCAAAGAGUCACUUCAUCAUGAAGUGGAGUCACAGAAACCCACAAAAGUUUUGAAGAGAUUAGGACUGGAAAAAUGCUUGCAACAUGUAUUCUUAAAAAGUAAUAGUUAACAUAUUAAUCCAAAUGACUAAAUAAAGGCUACAUGCCUGAGCAAUAUUAUUAAGGGGUCAAUGCAUGAUCUGGCAUUUAAAGUCCGUCACCACUGAUUUCACGAAAUCUGGUCCUACAGAUAACACUGCUGCCCACACAUGUCUAAGUAUAUAUGUGUCUCUGUCUAUCUUUUUUUGCUCAAACUUGCUGUUUUAUCCCAGAGCAACUGUCUUAUCUUCAUCAAGGUGACAAGAAGAAAGUCAAGCAGUACAGAGCCACAAACAGCUUGAGAAAGGCAAGCUGGGCAUUGUUGCAACAGGGAAGAAGAAGGCAUAACACAGAAGGCAUGACUGUGCAACUCUUGCUCAGUUCAGGAAGAUCUGCUUGAAUAAUUUUUUUCUUUAAAUAAUCAUGCUACUCUUUUGUCACAGAGGAGAGUUUUGCUUUGUGCUGGUCUUUGGAAGCUGCACUA
rnacentral:lncRNA from 1 species